CAGAUGUUGCAAAACUUCAACUCCCGGCAUGCUCAGACAGCCAACGGGGAUUCGAGAAGUAAAUCCAAAGUUGGACCUCGGUCGUUGAUAUUGAGGCGUACAUCUCGCAUCACUCGGGUUACGCAUAAAGAAUAAGUGUCGUCACAGGUUUUCCCAGGUUGCAGUGCGGCACGAGACAUUACAUCACUAGUCAGGUGUUCAGAGGGAGCCUAUCUGCUUCAGCGACUGCUGGGUGAGAGAUCAUUCUGAAAGAAUUUUCAACAGCUGGAGGCACCCUGGUUAGAAAACAGUGGUCUGUUGCAUUGAAGGCAGCACAGGUGUGUUUCAAUAGGAGGGGUAGAAGAAAAGUGACUUCACACUUACAAACAAGGAACUAUGGGAUUUGUAGUUUGAGAGGACAAACUCUUACAGGAAAUAGCCAGUUCACAAAAAGAUAGCCACAGCUUUAUGGUAAUCACACAACAAAGCCAUUCAACCCCAAGACAAGCGCAGAUCCUUCCUAAGCAUGUCCAUUACUGUCUGCCAGAAGUAACGCAGCGCCUGUGCUGAACUCCAAAACCAAGUGUCUCAUUCUAUACUAAGCGGGAUGCUGACCUGGAAGAUGGGCGAGCCCCCCGCUCACAGGGACCAUAGAGAUGAGAGAUGCCUGACCCAGCGGUAACACAAGGACACGGCAGCUCAGGCCACGCUCAUGGAUAAUUGUCCUCUGGAAAAUUAGGAGUCGGAUUUUAAGGGGGUUUCCAAUCAUUUGCACUUUAAUUUAUGAUUUUCUGGAUAGACAUUGAGCUAGAAGCACAUGUAACUUAACCCAUUAAAGGUCAGG